rnacentral:tRNA from 1 species
GGGAGUUUGGUCUAGUGGUAUGAUUCUCGCUUUGGGUGCGAGAGGCUGCGAGUUCGAUUCAUCGCAAUCUCCC